UACGUAGGGGGCAAGCGUUGUCCGGAUUUAUUGGGCGUAAAGAGCGUGUAGGCGGCCCGAUGAGUCCGCUGUGAAAGUCCAGGGCUCAACCCUGGAAUGCCGGUGGAAACUGUCGGGCUAGAGUUCGGAAGAGGUGAGUGGAAUUCCUGGUGUAGCGGUGAAAUGCGCAGAUAUCAGGAGGAACACCAAUGGCGAAGGCAGCUCACUGGGACGAUACUGACGCUGAGACGCGAAAGCGUGGGGAGCAAACAGG
rnacentral:rRNA from 1 species